AACGAACGCUGGCGGCAUGCCUAACACAUGCAAGUCGAACGAGACCUUCGGGUCUAGUGGCGCACGGGUGCGUAACGCGUGGGAAUCUGCCCUUGGGUUCGGAAUAACAGUUAGAAAUGACUGCUAAUACCGGAUGAUGUCUUCGGACCAAAGAUUUAUCGCCCAGGGAUGAGCCCGCGUAGGAUUAGCUAGUUGGUGGGGUAAAGGCCUACCAAGGCGACGAUCCUUAGCUGGUCUGAGAGGAUGAUCAGCCACACUGGGACUGAGACACGGCCCAGACUCCUACGGGAGGCAGCAGUGGGGAAUAUUGGACAAUGGGCGAAAGCCUGAUCCAGCAAUGCCGCGUGAGUGAUGAAGGCCUUAGGGUUGUAAAGCUCUUUUACCCGGGAUGAUAAUGACAGUACCGGGAGAAUAAGCCCCCGGCUAACUCCGUGCCAGCAG
rnacentral:rRNA from 1 species